ACGUAGGGACCAAGCGUUGUUCGGAUUUACUGGGCGUAAAGGGCGCGUAGGCGGCUCUGUAAGUCACUUGUGAAAUCUCUGAGCUUAACUCAGAACGGCCAAGUGAUACUGCAGAGCUAGAGUGUAGAAGGGGCAAUCGGAAUUCUUGGUGUAGCGGUGAAAUGCGUAGAUAUCAAGAGGAACACCUGAGGUGAAGACGGGUUGCUGGUCUAACACUGACGCUGAGGCGCGAAAGCCAGGGGAGCAAACGGGAUUAGAUACCCCGGUAGUCCUGGCCCUAAACGAUGAAUACUUGGUGUCUGGAACUAUUAAGUUCUGGGUGCCGUCGCUAACGUUUUAAGUAUUCCGCCUGGGGAGUAUGCUCGCAAGAGUG
rnacentral:rRNA from 1 species